UGUUCUGGGAAAAGUUAAAAAACACUGUCGAAAACAGUGCUGUCUGGUGGUUAAUAAAAAAUAAAGCAGCCAAAAGCUUGUGGAAGAAGUUCCUUUGGAUGAAGCAGCCACCACACACUCCAUAGAUAUGAAAUAAUAUAGUUUAAUAUGAUGUAAUAGAAGUAUAAUGUAGACAUAUUAUUCCUAACAGAGUUGCAUAUGGCAAGUAUUUUACCUGAAACAAUUUGUAUUCUUCAUAUUACUUGUAUGACUAGUAAAGUAAAAUCUGGGGUUCAAACAUUUCGACACGCAAAGCGAAUCACGUGAUUGGACAGAAAGUGAGGCAAUAGCAUUGUUCGACUUGAUGCAGUGCUGCACAGACCGAUCGGCGGCUGACUUAAAGCAGUGCAUGCCGGUAAGAAAUUUUAUUCGACUUUAGACAGUGCCGACGCCAUGUGAUUGUGAUGUAUGGCAGUCGGAUGAGUCAGCCAGCGAAGCAUCUCAAGAACGGCUGCACGAGCUCUGAUGACAACACAGCUGUUUCACGAUUGGCCGGAUUCACCGCAUGACAACAAUCACUUCCUCCCCACCUGCAUGCGGCUACUCUCGCCGAUCGUUGGAGGUCAUCGAUGGAGGUCGUUUCCCCAUCAAGGCCACGGAGGUCAUUUCCUCUGUCAUGGCCAUGGAGGUCGUUCUCCUGUCACAGCCACAGAGAUCAUUUCCUCUAUCAUGGCCACAAAGGUCGUUCCCCCUGUCAUGGUCAUGGAUGUUGUUUCCCUGUAACGGCCAUGAAGGUCAUUUCCUCUGUCACUGCCAUGGAGGUAGUUCCCCCUGUCACAGUCAUGGAGGUCCUUCCCACUGUCACGGCCAUGGAGGUCGUUUCCUCUGUCACAGUCACGGAGAUUGUUGCCCCCGUCACGGCCACGAAUAUCGUUUCUCUGUCACUGCCAUGGAACUCCUUUCCUCUGUCACGGCCACGGUGGUCAUUCCCCUGUCAUGGCCAUGGAUGUCGUUCCCCUGCCACAGCCACAGAUGUCGUUACCCCUGUCCCCUGUCACAUUCAAGGAGGCCGUCCCUGAAGUUUCUGUCUGCCCUGUUAUUGCCAAGGAGGCCGUAGACUCUCUGUGCUCCCUGUCACGGCCAUAAUGGCCGUCUCUGGACUCUCUGGGCUCCCUGAUUUGGAUCCUUCAGCCCCACUGUGGUAUCCACCUGCUCCAUUUUGGCGGUUUUCUGGUCUGUCUUCUCUUCCUUGGUGGUCUCCAGCUCCGCCUGCUCCACCUCGAUGGUUUCCUGGUCUGUCCUCUCCAUCUUAGUGGUGUACAGCUCUGCCUGCUCCACGUAGGUGGUCUCCUGUUCCACCUUGGUGGUUUCCUGCUCUGUCUGCUCCACUUUGGUGGUCUCCAGCUCCGCCUGCUUAACCUUGGUGGUCUCCAGCUCCUCCUUGGCCCCCUGCUCUGCCCUGGCUUGCUGCUUAGUUUCUAAAGUCAACGCUUUGUUUCCAUGGUUAUUGAUUACGCACACCUGUUCCUUGUUAGACCCUUGUUAUCCUGUGUAUAUAUAUCCCUGUGUUUCAUUUGUCUUUUACCAGUCGUUGUCGUUACAUGUAUUUUGUAAAACUCUUGCAUUUGUUUCCUGUUCUUGUUCUCUUGUUGGAUUAUUGGUAUCUCUUCCCCUGUUUGGAUUAUCUUUGUUAUCUUGAAUAAAUACUGCUGCAAUUAGAUCCCUGCCUCUCCUCUUUCCUCUUUCCUAUGUUACUGUAACAGCUAUUGCUCAGCCACCAAAUCAUAUACUUUUGCCUACUGGACCAAGUUUUUUUUUUUUUUUUUAACACACAAAAAGAUAAAAUACAUUUCAUAUAGAUAUUUUAUCCCAUUUUCUUUGUAAGUUUAAGAAAAACAUUGUUGUGAGAGAUGCUCUUUUUGUUCUUUGCAAUCUUUGGUUAUGUAAAAUAUGAUAAUGUUCAAAAUUAGGCAUAUUUCAUUUUUUUUUCCAACAAGAACAGGAGAGCUAUAUAAAGACCAUUAGUUUAAGUUCUGUUUUUAAGAUCUUUGUAUAAUACCAAGGUUGCAUGUUUAUUUGAGUAUUGACUUAUUUAAAUAUUUUGCAAAUUAAUUUAAUAUUUCUUUUAAAUCCCUAGCAGUUAUGUUGUUUAAAGAAUAAUAAAAGAAUAUCAGUGGUAUUUUCCUACCACUGACAAAAGUGCAUUCAUUUUUGACUGGUUUCAAGCUUAAUUUUGAUAAACAUGCUUUUGAGCUCCUAGUUGACAAUAAAUAUUUUUAUCUAUAAAUAAUGUGCAACAAAUGCAACUGAGUUAUGAGAGGAUAAUAAAGUGUUCCAGACUGGAAUUAAAAUGUAGAGUAUUUAGAAGAGAACAUUAGUAAACUAUGAAGGAAACUGUUAGCAGACAGACGGAGACAACACAGGUAACUUCCACACACAGUCAUUUAUUUACAGAUGCAGCAAGACAAUGGUAGCAGGUAAGGCAGUGCAUACAGAAAUAGUUUAAGAUAACUUGAACUGAACAGUCUUUCUUUUUAAUUGCAGAGCGAUCGCUAAACAAGGAAGACAGAAGAAGAUUGAAGAGGAUCUCAAGGCAGGUAAGUAGCACAGGUAGGUAGCCAGGUAAAUUAUAGCACAAUGUAACAACAACAAGACCAGACUCUGAGGGUAGGUAAGGUGAGUGUUUAUGUCUGUGUCUAAAUGAGGUGAUGAUCAGCAGCAGGUGUGGUGAUGGCUGACCGAGUGCAGGUAUAGACCAAAAGGGAUGCUGGGAAAUGUAGUUCUGUGGUGACUAGGCUCAAAGUCCCUUUCAAAGAAAGUCUGUUCACCUGGCGGUCAUAUUUGCAACACCUCCGGGCAGCUAUUUCGGGCAUCCAAGACUAAGUCCUAUCUAUUUGAAUGGGGGAAUCCUGAAAUCUCAAAAACUGCUUGGCAAACUCACAAUUAAAAAAAAAUCAAAUCAGCAACAAAAUCUGACAUGACCAUAAAUGUUGUUUCCUAUGCUCAAAUAGCAUUUUAAAAAAAAACGUAUUUUCCAGGCUAGACGAGCCAAUGCGCAUGUGCAGUCCUAUGCGCGAAUAUCAGGUUUCUAUGGGAAUAGGAGCUUCCAACGGAAGCUGCAGUGAUGCAAUGACUUUAUCAUUCAGCGAUUGGCUCUUUUACUUACUCUUACUCUUUUACUGCAAACCAUAUUGCGCUUUGCAGUUUCCCCCAUUCAUAACUAGUAGGAGUGAACCAUCCUUCUAUAUCUAUAGUCUUUUUUAGGCUAGUGACUGGGCUGGUGACUGGAGAAUGUGACAGAACCACAGGGAAGAGGGCAAAUACUUUGCUAUAAAAUGUGACUAUUAAUAUCUCUGUUUAAAUGGAAACUCUUCAGUGAUCAGUUUGUAAGAAGUUAUAGCUUAGGUGUUUUAUUUCAUAUUGGACUCAUCAAUGUUUAAAUAAAGACAACAGCACAAGGAUACAGUUUCAGUUCUGAGUUUAUUAUAUCAUUGAAAUCAUUAAUGUGCUUUGCAUAGUAGUUUGUUGUUUUACAAUGUUGUGGCUGUGAGAAAGUCGGUGCAUUGAAGUGGAGUACAAAUACUUCCCGUAAAAGAUUCAUUCAUAAACACUGAUUAAUUCAUGAA